CUCUGUUGUGUUUUCCGUUCAGUGUCUUCGGACAGGAGGUGAUUCCCACUAAAUAAUGGGAGUAUAAACGUAAGUAUAUACAUUUUAUUCAUUUCUGUACACGAAUCUCAUUGAAAUCCGUUCUGCGCUAUCUGCCCUGGUGAAAACGCCGUUUGCUGCUAUGAAACCUUGGUUAAAUGAUCUUUAAAUGGUCAUUUAAAUGCAUGUGUUCUUGUGUUUCCAGUUUGGUGUCUUCGGGCAGGACAUACUUGGCUCAGCUGCUGGAAUGAUCUAUGAAAUGCAACGAAGUUCCAGUCUUCAUUCUGGUCGCUGCUUCCACGGAUUGCCUUGGAGAAACAGGAACAUGCUCUGCUUUUCCGUGCAGUUGCAUGCAAAUCUUUUCGUAGUCUGUUGAUUUUGUUAAAAGUAUUUAGCGUUCGUGUGGCCGUGCUUUGACACUUUGUAAUCGAAAUGCCUGUUCAUUUUCACUUGAAAGCCUGUGCAUCAGUCAUACUGCAAUGCUUUGUUUUGUAUGCAUUUUUUACUCAAUAAAUUAUUCAUUGGAGUUUGAUUUUGUUCUUUCAUUUCUCAUGCAGAGCUCUGUACCCCCUUGGCCCUGAAAAACCUUGAUGUUGGUGAGUUUCUUGGCGGAGAGAUUUUGCGAACUGUUUCUGAGAAACGAUGCGAUGAGCUGUUUUAUCCUUGGAGUCACCUACCGCAAGGGGACACCCUAUCGCAUUGUGACUUGGAAUCUGCAGAGGCUACCCCCUUUUUAAGUGUGCCCAGAUUGUCCCGCCAAAAAACCGUCCACUCCUCUUUUUGGAGAGGGGGGCUGGAUGAAUGACC
rnacentral:lncRNA from 1 species